GCCGAGCUCAGUCACGCGAGCUUGUGACCCAUUGUGGGGGCAAUAAAGAUGGUUUG
rnacentral:sRNA from 1 species